GUUUUUUUUUUUUCAAAGUUUGCUCCCUCUUUUGGACUUUUCCUCAUUCUGUGCUCUUUGUCUUUCUUUCUACAGUCACAAUGUUACUCUUUUCCAGCCUGGGUCCUGGUGUUGCAUUCUCAGGGAAACAUCCUAUAUAUAUCUAGUUAAAAGUAGUGCUUCCCCACCACAGUGGUUCUCCAAGUAGGACCCAAAGAAGUCAGAGAUCCUGUAGCUCUUAGCUAUGAGCCUCGAGGAGCCAUUUUCAUAAUGAUCCUACUCUGUGCCUUUUAUUGUCAGCCUAGUGUAUGGGGUGGGGGGUGGGGGCGAUGUUCCAAAAGCUGCAUAAUAUAUGAGCAUUACUCUCCAUGACUAAUGGAUCUGCACUUGAGUGUUUUGUGUUUUAAGCUCUUUCCAAUUUUCACUUCUCUCUCUCUCUCUCUCUCUCUCUCUCUCUCUCGCUCGCUCGCUCACUCGCUCGCUUUUUAAAACAGGGUUUCUCUGUGUAGCCCUGGCUAUCCUGGAACUCACUCUGUAGACCAGGCUGACCUCAAACUCAGAAAUUCCCCUGUCUCUGCCUCCAAAGUGCUGGGAUUAAAGGUGUGCGCCACCACUGCCCGGCUUCCAGUUUUCAUUUCUAAUGCUAACAUAGACAAUAGUAAAUCAGAAAUGAAUAUAUGUGCUAAAGUCACAUGUAUAAAUUAUAAGACAUAUUUUUAAAAAAUUAAGACCAUAAAACAUAAGCAUUUUCUAUUUUACCUCUCUCUCUCUGUGUGUGUGUGUGUGUGUGUGUGUGUGUGUGUGUGUGUGUGUGUGUGUCUGUGUGUGUGUGUGUCUGUGUGUCUGUGUGUAUACACAUCAUGAAGCCUAGGCUACUCUUUAGUUUCCUGUGUAGCCAACGCUGACCUUGGCCUUCUUAUCCUCCAAAGUGAUGGGAUUAUAGACACGGUCUCCAUGUCUGCUUUAUGCACUUAGAGGUAAGCAUUCUAUCAAUUGAGCAACGACUACCCCCCCCCCCAUCCCACUUUAUCUCUUUUAAUUAAGUAGCUUGAUAGCUCUUUUAUCAUUAGAUACUUUCUUUAAUUUUUAGAUCCAUUUGUUGCAUACUUUAGCCCUGAACUGUCAGCACCUGCAAGGAGGUGUCUUGACAAUAUUCUUAACUAGAUAUUUUCAGAUUUCAAGUAGGGCCUAGCAUAGAACAGUGGUUUGUCAGAUAUUGUAUUUUAAAAAUUGCCAGGCAUGGAGAUGCAUACCUUUAAUCCCUUUAGGCACUUGGGGAGGCAGAGGCAGACAGAUCUCUGUGAAUUCAAGGCCAGUUUUGUCUACAUAGUAAGUUCCAGGGCAGCUAGAGCUUGGCAGUGAGACCCUGUUUCAUCAAACAAACAAUCUCAAAAACAAAUAAAAGCAUGAGUGCC
rnacentral:lncRNA from 1 species